rnacentral:misc_RNA from 1 species
CGCCAGCAGUCUCCGCGCCACACCUGUCAGCACAACCUAUCCGAUUUCCGGGCUCAUCCCGACGUACAGCGUCACAUCGGCGUCGCCGCGAUGCUACUCCUCCCGGGGCGUCCAGUGCUCUCGCCGGCGCUGCAGUACUCCUCCUCGCCGUCACCAUCCCGUCUCCGCCCCCUCCCUUGCACCAGCAACGCCCCCACAUCUGCUUCCACCGCCGCAGACGCUGCCACGCCCUCGUCCUUCUCCGUCGAAGACUACCUCGUGAACAGGUGCAAUCUCUACGCCAACGUGGCCGCGCGCGUGGCGCCGGAGCUCUCCGCCAUCAGGUCUCCCUCGAAACCCGACGCCGUGCUCGCCUUCCUCGCCAACACGCUCGAGCUCUCCCCGCCGCUCAUUGCCGUGGCAGUGGCCCGCGACCCGACGAUACUCACCUGCAGCGUGCCAAGGACGCUCGCGCCGCGCGCGGAAGAGCUCCGCGCCCUCGGUUUCACCGCGUUUCAGAUGGGCCUUAUCGUCGCGCGUUGCGGCGCGGCCGCAUUCCGCUCACGCGCGCUCGUCCCCAGUGUCCAGUUCUGGCUCCCGUAUCUUCGUGGUCGCGUCGACAAGCUCGUCGCCGCGCUCAAGGGCAACCCGGGCCUCCUCACCGCCGACCUCCGGACGGUCAAGUCCACCGUCGCGCUGCUCCAAGAGGAAGGCACCCUCACCGAUGGCGACGUCGGCUGGUUCGCCAUCUCAUACUGCUCCAAGCUGCUUGUCGCGAGCCCGGACGAGGUCGACUCCGUCCUAGCCCGCGCCGACGAGUUCGGCGUGCCGCGCAAGACGCGGGCGUUCAAGGACGCGAUCAUCGCGGCGUUCAGCGUCACUCCGGAGCGGCUCGCAUGGAAGGUCGCGUUCUUCAGGGACGAGCUCGGGUGGACGGAGGCGCAGGUGAAGACGGCAGCUGCGAAGAUGCCGACGCUGAUGACGGUCUCCGCGGAGCGGAUCCGGAGGAACUGGGAGUUCCUGACCACAGAGGUCGGGAUGGACGCGGAGCGCGUGGCCAGCUUCCCGGCGCUGCUGAGGUACGACCUGGAGGGGCGGCUGGUGCCGCGGUUCCAGGUGAUGAGGGUGCUGCAGGCGCGGCGGCUGUGGCGCGGCAGGGACUUCAACAACAUCGCUGCCAUCACGGAGGAGGAUUUCGUGGCCAAGUUCAUCAGGCCAUUUCUGGUCAAAGUCCCAAGCUUGGCCAAGAUCUACGAGGCCGCUGUCAUCGAGAAGGAAGAACAGUAGCGGGAUAGUGUAUCAUCAGUGGGAUGCUGGACAACCGGAGAGCUGAUGAUCCCUGUAGAUAGCCAGGCAUAUGCAACUCCGUUGUAGAUUUUAGUUUUGAUAAAAGGAUUACAUGCCUUUAAUGCAAAGAUUAGAUUCAACAUGAAACUGUUGAACUGUGUAAAGUGAGAAACAACUUUUGAACACAGGAGUCCGGAGCUUCUAUUGUGAAGGCGUGGUAUAAUUGCCAUUUUUUUCUAUAGAAUUGUCUGCGCCACAAUUUUUAUUUUUCAGUUACGCCAUUU